rnacentral:rRNA from 1 species
AGGUUAACCGUAUAGGGGAGCCGUAGGGAAACCGAGUCUUAACUGGGCGAAUGAGUUGCAGGGUAUAGACCCGAAACCCGGUGAUCUAUCCAUGGGCAGGUUGAAGGUUGGGUAACACUAACUGGAGGACCGAACCGACUAAUGUUGAAAAAUUAGCGGAUGACUUGUGGAUGGGGGUGAAAGGCCAAUCAAACCGGGAGAUAGCUGGUUCUCCCCGAAAGCUAUUUAGGUAGCGCCUCGUGAACUCAUCUUCGGGGGUAGAGCACUGUUUCGACUAGGGGGUCAUCCCGACUUACCAACUCGAUGCAAACUGCGAAUACCGAAGAAUGUUAUCACGGGAGACACACGGCGGGUGCUAACGUCCGUCGUGAAGAGGGAAACAACCCAGACCGCCAGCUAAGGUCCCAAAGUCAUGGUUAAGUGGGAAACGAAGUGGGAAGGCUCAGACAGCCAGGAUGUUGGCUUAGAAGCAGCCAUCAUUUAAAGAAAGCGUAAUAGCUCACUGGUCGAGUCGGCCCGCGCGGAAGAUGUAACGGGGCUAAACCAUGCACCGAAGCUGCGGCAGCGACACAAAGUGUUGUUGGGUAGGGGAGCGUUCUGUAAGCCUGCGAAGGUGUACUGUGAGGUAUGCUGGAGGUAUCAGAAGUGCGAAUGCUGACAUAAGUAACGAUAAUGCGGGUGAAAAACCCGCACGCCGGAAGACCAAGGGUUCCUGUCCAACGUUAAUCGGGGCAGGGUGAGUCGACCCCUAAGGCGAGGCUGAAAAGCGUAGUCGAUGGGAAACGGGUUAAUAUUCCCGUACUGGUGGUAACUGCGAUGGGGGAACGGAGAAGGCUAGGUUGUCCGGGCGACGGUCGUCCCGGUUCAAGCAGGUAGGCAGAGUGAUUAGGCAAAUCCGGUCACUUAAUGCUGAGAUGUGAUGACGAACCACCAAGGUGGUGAAGCAAUUGAUGCCCCGCUUCCAGGAAAAGCCUCUAAGCUUCAGGUUACCAACAAUCGUACCCCAAACCGACACAGGUGGUCAGGUAGAGAAUACUCAGGCGCUUGAGAGAACUCGGGUGAAGGAACUAGGCAAAAUGGUGCCGUAACUUCGGGAGAAGGCACGCUGGCGGUAGGUAAAGUCCCUUGCGGACGGCGCUGAAGCCAGUCGAAGAUACCAGCUGGCUGCAACUGUUUAUUAAAAACACAGCACUGUGCAAACACGAAAGUGGACGUAUACGGUGUGACGCCUGCCCGGUGCUGGAAGGUUAAUUGAUGGGGUUAGCGCAAGCGAAGCUCCUGAUCGAAGCCCCAGUAAACGGCGGCCGUAACUAUAACGGUCCUAAGGUAGCGAAAUUCCUUGUCGGGUAAGUUCCGACCUGCACGAAUGGCGUAAUGAUGGCCAGGCUGUCUCCACCCGAGACUCAGUGAAAUUGAACUCGCUGUGAAGAUGCAGUGUACCCGCGGCAAGACGGAAAGACCCCGUGAACCUUUACUAUAGCUUGACACUGAACAUUGAGCCUUGAUGUGUAGGAUAGGUGGGAGGCUUUGAAGUGUGGACGCCAGUCUGCAUGGAGCCAACCUUGAAAUACCACCCUUUAACGUUUGAUGUUCUAACCUAGGCCCAUAAACUGGGUCGGGGACCGUGUCUGGUGGGUAGUUUGACUGGGGCGGUCUCCUCCUAAAGAGUAACGGAGGAGCACGAAGGUUGGCUAAGCAUGGUCGGACAUCAUGCGGUUAGUGCAAAGGCAUAAGCCAGCUUGACUGCGAGAGUGACGGCUCGAGCAGGUACGAAAGUAGGUCUUAGUGAUCCGGUGGUUCUGAAUGGAAGGGCCAUCGCUCAACGGAUAAAAGGUACUCCGGGGAUAACAGGCUGAUACCGCCCAAGAGUUCAUAUCGACGGCGGUGUUUGGCACCUCGAUGUCGGCUCAUCACAUCCUGGGGCUGAAGUAGGUCCCAAGGGUAUGGCUGUUCGCCAUUUAAAGUGGUACGCGAGCUGGGUUUAGAACGUCGUGAGACAGUUCGGUCCCUAUCUGCCGUGGGCGUUGGAAGAUUGAGAGGGGUUGCUCCUAGUACGAGAGGACCGGAGUGAACGCACCACUGGUGUUCGGGUUGUCAUGCCAAUGGCAUUGCCCGGUAGCUAAGUGCGGAAGAGAUAACCGCUGAAAGCAUCUAAGCGGGAAACUUGCCUCGAGAUGAGUCUUCCCUGUCGCUUUAAGCGACCUAAAGGAACGUUUAAGACUAAGACGUUGAUAGGCUGGGUGUGUAAGCGUAGCGAUACGUUGAGCUAACCAGUACUAAUGAACCGUGAGGCUUAACCUG